CACCCCAUUCGACUCCACUGCGGAUGAAGCAAUACGUGCGAUGGUCCUCGGUUUACGAUGGUAAAGCAGAGGUUUCGAGGUGGACGCGUUCUACUCUGCCGCUCACCCGCACUUAUCUCUCUCACUGCCUGCUGACUUGGUCUUGAAUACAGACUUCUAUCUUUCAACUAGCAUCCCAGCCUUCCGCUGCAUCUUCUCCCGAAUAUCAAACCACGAAAUUGGUCAGCUGGUCUCUCAACACAAUCAACAACAUUUUCUCAACCAGAAGAGCAAAGAAAGGGAGAAGCUGUUUUUUUUCCGGAUAGUACAUUCACUGCUGGGUAUAUGUUGGAUUCCUGGAAUAAAUGGAAGAAGAUGUGGAAGACGCAUACAUUAUUAGAAUUCUGAUGCUAUUUGGAGCUGGCGGGUUCAUGAUUCAUCACAAAAUUCAGAAGACGUGAGCAGCUUUAUUAGAAAUGAGCAAGCUGUCGGUGAUGUUUGGUGGGCUGCUGCAAGCUAUCAACACUCAAACUCAGGCGACAAGUGAGCUCAAUCGCAAGUUGGAUGUGACUUCUGAGACACUUCACCUAUCGUUUACCAAUGUGGAGAAGUUGCUGUCUCGUCUUGAAGAAUCGCUCACCAAUUCAUCCAACUGCUGUCCAUUCAGAGCUGUAGGAAAAAGACUCAAGCUUGACUGAAAUCCUCCUUGUCCUCUCCUUGGUGUUCGUGAUUAUGCGAUUCGAGGCUGUGUCCAUGACGACGAGACAAUAUGUUUUGGCGUGCCAGAUGGGACAGAGACUUGCACAUACACGCUCUUGAGCAUGCGACGCUUACACAACCCCAUUAUCACUGCCUUUUCGUUGUGCUCCGUUGGUGACCAGCACCUCUCACCCAAUGUCAAUAGGCUCUAGUUUACCCACGAUUAUCAUGAAGACAGGCGCUUUAGAACACAGAUGGAUUUAGUUGUCAUUUAUUUCGUCAAACAAGUACAAUUCAAUAUAAUCAAUUGUUCAACUUAACUGGUAGCUAUUUUUGCUGCAGACUAUAAAAUCACUAAACAUGAUCAAUUCAUAGUAACAAAUCAAUGAGAUAUAUAGCAGCGAGUCAACCUGUGUUGUGUAUUGCAACAUAUAAGGGUAGAUCAAAUAAAAGGAAGCAAUA